rnacentral:rRNA from 1 species
CUUAACACAUGCAAGUCGAACGAUGAAGCCCACCUUGCUGGGUGGAUUAGUGGCGAACGGGUGAGUAACACGUGAGUAACCUGCCCUUAACUCUGGGAUAAGCCUGGGAAACUGGGUCUAAUACCGGAUAGGAGCGYCCACCGCAUGGUGGGUGUUGGAAAGAUUUAUCGGUUUUGGAUGGACUCGCGGCCUAUCAGCUUGUUGGUGAGGUAAUGGCUCACCAAGGCGACGACGGGUAGCCGGCCUGAGAGGGUGACCGGCCACACUGGGACUGAGACACGGCCCAGACUCCUACGGGAGGCAGCAGUGGGGAAUAUUGCACAAUGGGCGCAAGCCUGAUGCAGCGACGCCGCGUGAGGGAUGACGGCCUUCGGGUUGUAAACCUCUUUCAGUAGGGAAGAAGCGAAAGUGACGGUACCUGCAGAAGAAGCACC